CUGAGACCCAUUGGGAGGCGUCCACUCACCAGGUCACUGCGGUGCUGAGGUCGGACACAGGCGGACAGCCAGAUGUCUAGGAACCUACUCACCACAGACCUUGGCUGCCCGCACACACAGAUCCUCUGCCAAGUAGUCCCCAAAAGAGAAUGACAGUCGCUGGGGAGGCCCAGAUCCCCGCGGAGGAAGGAGGACAUGCAGGGAUCCCGCCUCUGAGGACGAGAGGCUGCAAGAACGCUGAGGGAUCAGAGGCGUCUCCUCACUUGGAGGUGCCAUGAGUACAACCUGGAGAUCAGAGGGGGACUGAGCACGCGGGCUGGGGACCAGGUGUCUUCUGGUUCUGUGUGAACUCACACCCCUCUGCAUGUCUCUGCACCCAGAGCAGACAUCUCCAACAUCCUCCCUCCACAUCCCAUCCUAGCCAGGCAGGCCAAUACCCCAGGCAGAUACAGAAAUAGGUCUGAGCAGAAAGCAGGAAGCAGAAGGGGUUUGGAGGGAUGGGACAGCUUUCAUUCCCUGUAGGUCUUCUGGUCACAUGACCAGCUGAGCUUCCUCUGCUGUGAUGGUCUGUGGCCUGUUGUCUCCCCAGCCCUUCCUGGUCUCUGUUCACCUCCACAUCCAGCCGGCACUUUGUGGGUCUCUUAGCGCCUAACAGUGGGGGAGGUUCCUAGCCAGCCCUCAGAGUUGGUGCUAGCAAGGGGCGGGACUUGAGCCCCACAGGCCUACCACCUCAGGACUGGGAAAGGCGCUUGCCAUCAAGCCUAAAGACAGAUAGGAGUUCCAUCUGCAAAGCCACAUAGUGGAGAGGGCAGUUUGACGACAGGUCGCUCUGACCUCUGCAUGUGCAUCCUCCCAUAAAGCAACAAAAGUAGGCAUGGUGACUCACACUUACCACCACAAAAGUCCAGUGGUGGAGGCAGAACACUAGAAGGCCAAGGCCAGCCUGGGCUGCAAGAGACGGGGUUUAAACAGACAAACAACAACAGAAAUAUGUAAGUAAAUAAAUAGAUUAAGAAAACAAGGCUGAGUGGCCUAGAGCACUGAGGACCUGCAUUCAGUCCCCAGCAACCAUGGUGGUGCUCAAUCAUCUCCUGCGCCGGUGGACACAGCGCCCCUUCUGGCCUUCGCAGGCAUUGCACUCGUGAAGCUCAUGUUCUCCCGGCUGUGGGGCCCAGCACUCAGAAGGCAGAGGCAGGCGGAUCUCUGUAAAUUUCGAACCAG